rnacentral:lncRNA from 1 species
UCCUCUCUUCGUAGGCUAAUGCAUUGGCCCUUUUUGACCCGUUUUGGGGCGAAAACAAAAACUGACUCCCGGGCAUAUUUUUUUCGGCCUUUAUGGGCAGAGAACUUUAAUACCGCUCGAAAUGAGGCCACCCAGUAGUUAGGUGUGAAUUUUCGAGACCUUUGGCACCGUUCUAAGAUGGGUCCUCUCUUCGUAGGCUAAUGCAUUGGCCCUUUUUGACCCGUUUUGGGGCGAAAACAAAAACUGACUCCCGGGCAUAUUUUUUUCGGCCUUUAUGGGCAGAGAACUUUAAUACCGCUCAAAAUGAGGCCACCCAGUAGUUAGGUGUGAAUUUUCGAGACCUUUGGCACCGUUCUAAGAUGGGUCCUCUCUUCGUAGGCUAAUGCAUUGGCCCUUUUUGACCCGUUUUGGGGCGAAAACAAAAACUGACUCCCGGGCAUAUUUUUUUCGGCCUUUAUGGGCAGAGAACUUUAAUGCCGCUCGGAAUGAGGCCACCCAGUAGUUAGGUGUGAAUUUUCGAGACCUUUGGCACCGUUCUAAGAUGGGUCCUCUCUUCGUAGGCUAAUGCAUUGGCCCUUUUUGACCCGUUUUGGGGCGAAAACAAAAACUGACUCCCGGGCAUAUUUUUUUUCGGCCUUUAUGGGCAGAGAACUUUAAUGCCGCUCGGAAUGAGGCCACCCAGUAGUUAGGUGUGAAUUUUCGAGACCUUUGGCACCGUUCUAAGAUGGGUCCUCUCUUCGUAGGCUAAUGCAUUGGCCCUUUUUGACCCGUUUUGGGGCGAAAACAAAAACUGACUCCCGGGCAUAUUUUUUUCGGCCUUUAUGGGCAGAGAACUUUAAUGCCGCUCAGAAUGAGGCCACCCAGUAGUUAGGUGUGAAUUUUCGAGACCUUUGGCACCGUUCUAAGAUGGGUCCUCUCUUCGUAGGCUAAUGCAUUGGCCCUUUUUGACCCGUUUUGGGGCGAAAACAAAAACUGACUCCCGGGCAUAUUUUUUUUCGGCCUUUAUGGGCAGAGAACUUUAAUGCCGCUCAGAAUGAGGCCACCCAGUAGUUAGGUGUGAAUUUUCGAGACCUUUGGCACCGUUCUAAGAUGGGUCCUCUCUUCGUAGGCUAAUGCAUUGGCCCUUUUUGACCCGUUUUGGGGCGAAAACAAAAACUGACUCCCGGGCAUAUUUUUUUCGGCCUUUAUGGGCAGAGAACUUUAAUGCCGCUCGGAAUGAGGCCACCCAGUAGUUAGGUGUGAAUUUUCGAGACCUUUGGCACCGUUCUAAGAUGGGUCCUCUCUUCGUAGGCUAAUGCAUUGGCCCUUUUUGACCCGUUUUGGGGCGAAAACAAAAACUGACUCCCGGGCAUAUUUUUUUCGGCCUUUAUGGGCAGAGAACUUUAAUGCCGCUCGGAAUGAGGCCACCCAGUAGUUAGGUGUGAAUUUUCGAGACCUUUGGCACCGUUCUAAGAUGGGUCCUCUCUUCGUAGGCUAAUGCAUUGGCCCUUUUUUGACCCGUUUUGGGGCGAAAACAAAAACUGACUCCCGGGCAUAUUUUUUUCGGCCUUUAUGGGCAGAGAACUUUAAUGCCGCUCAGAAUGAGGCCACCCAGUAGUUAGGUGUGAAUUUUCGAGACCUUUGGCACCGUUCUAAGAUGGGUCCUCUCUUCGUAGGCUAAUGCAUUGGCCCUUUUUGACCCGUUUUGGGGCGAAAACAAAAACUGACUCCCGGGCAUAUUUUUUUCGGCCUUUAUGGGCAGAGAACUUUAAUGCCGCUCAGAAUGAGGCCACCCAGUAGUUAGGUGUGAAUUUUCGAGACCUUUGGCACCGUUCUAAGAUGGGUCCUCUCUUCGUAGGCUAAUGCAUUGGCCCUUUUUGACCCGUUUUGGGGCGAAAACAAAAACUGACUCCCGGGCAUAUUUUUUUCGGCCUUUAUGGGCAGAGAACUUUAAUGCCGCUCAGAAUGAGGCCACCCAGUAGUUAGGUGUGAAUUUUCGAGACCUUUGGCACCGUUCUAAGAUGGGUCCUCUCUUCGUAGGCUAAUGCAUUGGCCCUUUUUGACCCGUUUUGGGGCGAAAACAAAAACUGACUCCCGGGCAUAUUUUUUUCGGCCUUUAUGGGCAGAGAACUUUAAUGCCGCUCAGAAUGAGGCCACCCAGUAGUUAGGUGUGAAUUUUCGAGACCUUUGGCACCGUUCUAAGAUGGGUCCUCUCUUCGUAGGCUAAUGCAUUGGCCCUUUUUGACCCGUUUUGGGGCGAAAACAAAAACUGACUCCCGGGCAUAUUUUUUUUCGGCCUUUAUGGGCAGAGAACUUUAAUGCCGCUCAGAAUGAGGCCACCCAGUAGUUAGGUGUGAAUUUUCGAGACCUUUGGCACCGUUCUAAGAUGGGUCCUCUCUUCGUAGGCUAAUGCAUUGGCCCUUUUUGACCCGUUUUGGGGCGAAAACAAAAACUGACUCCCGGGCAUAUUUUUUUCGGCCUUUAUGGGCAGAGAACUUUAAUGCCGCUCAGAAUGAGGCCACCCAGUAGUUAGGUGUGAAUUUUCGAGACCUCUGGCACCGUUCUAAGAUGGGUCCUCUCUUCGUAGGCUAAUGCAUUGGCCCUUUUUGACCCGUUUUGGGGCGAAAACAAAAACUGACUCCCGGGCAUAUUUUUUUCGGCCUUUAUGGGCAGAGAACUUUAAUGCCGCUCAGAAUGAGGCCACCCAGUAGUUAGGUGUGAAUUUUCGAGACCUCUGGCACCGUUCUAAGAUGGGUCCUCUCUUCGUAGGCUAAUGCAUUGGCCCUUUUUGACCCGUUUUGGGGCGAAAACAAAAACUGACUCCCGGGCAUAUUUUUUUCGGCCUUUAUGGGCAGAGAACUUUAAUGCCGCUCAGAAUGAGGCCACCCAGUAGUUAGGUGUGAAUUUUCGAGACCUCUGGCACCGUUCUAAGAUGGGUCCUCUCUUCGUAGGCUAAUGCAUUGGCCCUUUUUGACCCGUUUUGGGGCGAAAACAAAAACUGACUCCCGGGCAUAUUUUUUUCGGCCUUUAUGGGCAGAGAACUUUAAUGCCGCUCAGAAUGAGGCCACCCAGUAGUUAGGUGUGAAUUUUCGAGACCUCUGGCACCGUUCUAAGAUGGGUCCUCUCUUCGUAGGCUAAUGCAUUGGCCCUUUUUGACCCGUUUUGGGGCGAAAACAAAAACUGACUCCCGGGCAUAUUUUUUUCGGCCUUUAUGGGCAGAGAACUUUAAUGCCGCUCAGAAUGAGGCCACCCAGUAGUUAGGUGUGAAUUUUCGAGACCUCUGGCACCGUUCUAAGAUGGGUCCUCUCUUCGUAGGCUAAUGCAUUGGCCCUUUUUGACCCGUUUUGGGGCGAAAACAAAAACUGACUCCCGGGCAUAUUUUUUUCGGCCUUUAUGGGCAGAGAACUUUAAUGCCGCUCAGAAUGAGGCCACCCAGUAGUUAGGUGUGAAUUUUCGAGACCUCUGGCACCGUUCUAAGAUGGGUCCUCUCUUCGUAGGCUAAUGCAUUGGCCCUUUUUGACCCGUUUUGGGGCGAAAACAAAAACUGACUCCCGGGCAUAUUUUUUUCGGCCUUUAUGGGCAGAGAACUUUAAUGCCGCUCAGAAUGAGGCCACCCAGUAGUUAGGUGUGAAUUUUCGAGACCUCUGGCACCGUUCUAAGAUGGGUCCUCUCUUCGUAGGCUAAUGCAUUGGCCCUUUUUGACCCGUUUUGGGGCGAAAACAAAAACUGACUCCCGGGCAUAUUUUUUUCGGCCUUUAUGGGCAGAGAACUUUAAUGCCGCUCAGAAUGAGGCCACCCAGUAGUUAGGUGUGAAUUUUCGAGACCUCUGGCACCGUUCUAAGAUGGGUCCUCUCUUCGUAGGCUAAUGCAUUGGCCCUUUUUGACCCGUUUUGGGGCGAAAACAAAAACUGACUCCCGGGCAUAUUUUUUUCGGCCUUUAUGGGCAGAGAACUUUAAUGCCGCUCAGAAUGAGGCCACCCAGUAGUUAGGUGUGAAUUUUCGAGACCUCUGGCACCGUUCUAAGAUGGGUCCUCUCUUCGUAGGCUAAUGCAUUGGCCCUUUUUGACCCGUUUUGGGGCGAAAACAAAAACUGACUCCCGGGCAUAUUUUUUUCGGCCUUUUAUGGGCAGAGAACUUUAAUGCCGCUCAGAAUGAGGCCACCCAGUAGUUAGGUGUGAAUUUUCGAGACCUCUGGCACCGUUCUAAGAUGGGUCCUCUCUUCGUAGGCUAAUGCAUUGGCCCUUUUUGACCCGUUUUGGGGCGAAAACAAAAACUGACUCCCGGGCAUAUUUUUUUCGGCCUUUAUGGGCAGAGAACUUUAAUGCCGCUCAGAAUGAGGCCACCCAGUAGUUAGGUGUGAAUUUUCGAGACCUCUGGCACCGUUCUAAGAUGGGUCCUCUCUUCGUAGGCUAAUGCAUUGGCCCUUUUUGACCCGUUUUGGGGCGAAAACAAAAACUGACUCCCGGGCAUAUUUUUUUCGGCCUUUAUGGGCAGAGAACUUUAAUGCCGCUCAGAAUGAGGCCACCCAGUAGUUAGGUGUGAAUUUUCGAGACCUCUGGCACCGUUCUAAGAUGGGUCCUCUCUUCGUAGGCUAAUGCAUUGGCCCUUUUUGACCCGUUUUGGGGCGAAAACAAAAACUGACUCCCGGGCAUAUUUUUUUCGGCCUUUAUGGGCAGAGAACUUUAAUGCCGCUCAGAAUGAGGCCACCCAGUAGUUAGGUGUGAAUUUUCGAGACCUCUGGCACCGUUCUAAGAUGGGUCCUCUCUUCGUAGGCUAAUGCAUUGGCCCUUUUUGACCCGUUUUGGGGCGAAAACAAAAACUGACUCCCGGGCAUAUUUUUUUCGGCCUUUAUGGGCAGAGAACUUUAAUGCCGCUCAGAAUGAGGCCACCCAGUAGUUAGGUGUGAAUUUUCGAGACCUCUGGCACCGUUCUAAGAUGGGUCCUCUCUUCGUAGGCUAAUGCAUUGGCCCUUUUUGACCCGUUUUGGGGCGAAAAAAAAAAACUGACUCCCGGGCAUAUUUUUUUCGGCCUUUAUGGGCAGAGAACUUUAAUGCCGCUCAGAAUGAGGCCACCCAGUAGUUAGGUGUGAAUUUUCGAGACCUCUGGCACCGUUCUAAGAUGGGUCCUCUCUUCGUAGGCUAAUGCAUUGGCCCUUUUUGACCCGUUUUGGGGCGAAAACAAAAACUGACUCCCGGGCAUAUUUUUUUCGGCCUUUAUGGGCAGAGAACUUUAAUGCCGCUCAGAAUGAGGCCACCCAGUAGUUAGGUGUGAAUUUUCGAGACCUCUGGCACCGUUCUAAGAUGGGUCCUCUCUUCGUAGGCUAAUGCAUUGGCCCUUUUUGACCCGUUUUGGGGCGAAAACAAAAACUGACUCCCGGGCAUAUUUUUUUCGGCCUUUAUGGGCAGAGAACUUUAAUGCCGCUCAGAAUGAGGCCACCCAGUAGUUAGGUGUGAAUUUUCGAGACCUCUGGCACCGUUCUAAGAUGGGUCCUCUCUUCGUAGGCUAAUGCAUUGGCCCUUUUUGACCCGUUUUGGGGCGAAAACAAAAACUGACUCCCGGGCAUAUUUUUUUCGGCCUUUAUGGGCAGAGAACUUUAAUGCCGCUCAGAAUGAGGCCACCCAGUAGUUAGGUGUGAAUUUUCGAGACCUCUGGCACCGUUCUAAGAUGGGUCCUCUCUUCGUAGGCUAAUGCAUUGGCCCUUUUUGACCCGUUUUGGGGCGAAAACAAAAACUGACUCCCGGGCAUAUUUUUUUCGGCCUUUAUGGGCAGAGAACUUUAAUGCCGCUCAGAAUGAGGCCACCCAGUAGUUAGGUGUGAAUUUUCGAGACCUCUGGCACCGUUCUAAGAUGGGUCCUCUCUUCGUAGGCUAAUGCAUUGGCCCUUUUUGACCCGUUUUGGGGCGAAAACAAAAACUGACUCCCGGGCAUAUUUUUUUCGGCCUUUAUGGGCAGAGAACUUUAAUGCCGCUCAGAAUGAGGCCACCCAGUAGUUAGGUGUGAAUUUUCGAGACCUCUGGCACCGUUCUAAGAUGGGUCCUCUCUUCGUAGGCUAAUGCAUUGGCCCUUUUUGACCCGUUUUGGGGCGAAAACAAAAACUGACUCCCGGGCAUAUUUUUUUCGGCCUUUAUGGGCAGAGAACUUUAAUACCGCUCAGAAUGAGGCCACCCAGUAGUUAGGUGUGAAUUUUCGAGACCUCUGGCACCGUUCUAAGAUGGGUCCUCUCUUCGUAGGCUAAUGCAUUGGCCCUUUUUGACCCGUUUUGGGGCGAAAACAAAAACUGACUCCCGGGCAUAUUUUUUUCGGCCUUUAUGGGCAGAGAACUUUAAUGCCGCUCAGAAUGAGGCCACCCAGUAGUUAGGUGUGAAUUUUCGAGACCUCUGGCACCGUUCUAAGAUGGGUCCUCUCUUCGUAGGCUAAUGCAUUGGCCCUUUUUGACCCGUUUUGGGGCGAAAACAAAAACUGACUCCCGGGCAUAUUUUUUUCGGCCUUUAUGGGCAGAGAACUUUAAUACCGCUCAGAAUGAGGCCACCCAGUAGUUAGGUGUGAAUUUUCGAGACCUCUGGCACCGUUCUAAGAUGGGUCCUCUCUUCGUAGGCUAAUGCAUUGGCCCUUUUUGACCCGUUUUGGGGCGAAAACAAAAACUGACUCCCGGGCAUAUUUUUUUCGGCCUUUAUGGGCAGAGAACUUUAAUACCGCUCAGAAUGAGGCCACCCAGUAGUUAGGUGUGAAUUUUCGAGACCUCUGGCACCGUUCUAAGAUGGGUCCUCUCUUCGUAGGCUAAUGCAUUGGCCCUUUUUGACCCGUUUUGGGGCGAAAACAAAAACUGACUCCCGGGCAUAUUUUUUUCGGCCUUUAUGGGCAGAGAACUUUAAUACCGCUCAGAAUGAGGCCACCCAGUAGUUAGGUGUGAAUUUUCGAGACCUCUGGCACCGUUCUAAGAUGGGUCCUCUCUUCGUAGGCUAAUGCAUUGGCCCUUUUUGACCCGUUUUGGGGCGAAAACAAAAACUGACUCCCGGGCAUAUUUUUUUCGGCCUUUAUGGGCAGAGAACUUUAAUACCGCUCAGAAUGAGGCCACCCAGUAGUUAGGUGUGAAUUUUCGAGACCUCUGGCACCGUUCUAAGAUGGGUCCUCUCUUCGUAGGCUAAUGCAUUGGCCCUUUUUGACCCGUUUUGGGGCGAAAACAAAAACUGACUCCCGGGCAUAUUUUUUUCGGCCUUUAUGGGCAGAGAACUUUAAUGCCGCUCAGAAUGAGGCCACCCAGUAGUUAGGUGUGAAUUUUCGAGACCUCUGGCACCGUUCUAAGAUGGGUCCUCUCUUCGUAGGCUAAUGCAUUGGCCCUUUUUGACCCGUUUUGGGGCGAAAACAAAAACUGACUCCCGGGCAUAUUUUUUUCGGCCUUUAUGGGCAGAGAACUUUAAUACCGCUCAGAAUGAGGCCACCCAGUAGUUAGGUGUGAAUUUUCGAGACCUCUGGCACCGUUCUAAGAUGGGUCCUCUCUUCGUAGGCUAAUGCAUUGGCCCUUUUUGACCCGUUUUGGGGCGAAAACAAAAACUGACUCCCGGGCAUAUUUUUUUCGGCCUUUAUGGGCAGAGAACUUUAAUGCCGCUCAGAAUGAGGCCACCCAGUAGUUAGGUGUGAAUUUUCGAGACCUCUGGCACCGUUCUAAGAUGGGUCCUCUCUUCGUAGGCUAAUGCAUUGGCCCUUUUUGACCCGUUUUGGGGCGAAAACAAAAACUGACUCCCGGGCAUAUUUUUUUCGGCCUUUAUGGGCAGAGAACUUUAAUGCCGCUCAGAAUGAGGCCACCCAGUAGUUAGGUGUGAAUUUUCGAGACCUCUGGCACCGUUCUAAGAUGGGUCCUCUCUUCGUAGGCUAAUGCAUUGGCCCUUUUUGACCCGUUUUGGGGCGAAAACAAAAACUGACUCCCGGGCAUAUUUUUUUCGGCCUUUAUGGGCAGAGAACUUUAAUACCGCUCAGAAUGAGGCCACCCAGUAGUUAGGUGUGAAUUUUCGAGACCUCUGGCACCGUUCUAAGAUGGGUCCUCUCUUCGUAGGCUAAUGCAUUGGCCCUUUUUGACCCGUUUUGGGGCGAAAACAAAAACUGACUCCCGGGCAUAUUUUUUUCGGCCUUUAUGGGCAGAGAACUUUAAUGCCGCUCAGAAUGAGGCCACCCAGUAGUUAGGUGUGAAUUUUCGAGACCUCUGGCACCGUUCUAAGAUGGGUCCUCUCUUCGUAGGCUAAUGCAUUGGCCCUUUUUGACCCGUUUUGGGGCGAAAACAAAAACUGACUCCCGGGCAUAUUUUUUUCGGCCUUUAUGGGCAGAGAACUUUAAUGCCGCUCAGAAUGAGGCCACCCAGUAGUUAGGUGUGAAUUUUCGAGACCUCUGGCACCGUUCUAAGAUGGGUCCUCUCUUCGUAGGCUAAUGCAUUGGCCCUUUUUGACCCGUUUUGGGGCGAAAACAAAAACUGACUCCCGGGCAUAUUUUUUUCGGCCUUUAUGGGCAGAGAACUUUAAUGCCGCUCAGAAUGAGGCCACCCAGUAGUUAGGUGUGAAUUUUCGAGACCUCUGGCACCGUUCUAAGAUGGGUCCUCUCUUCGUAGGCUAAUGCAUUGGCCCUUUUUGACCCGUUUUGGGGCGAAAACAAAAACUGACUCCCGGGCAUAUUUUUUUCGGCCUUUAUGGGCAGAGAACUUUAAUGCCGCUCAGAAUGAGGCCACCCAGUAGUUAGGUGUGAAUUUUCGAGACCUCUGGCACCGUUCUAAGAUGGGUCCUCUCUUCGUAGGCUAAUGCAUUGGCCCUUUUUGACCCGUUUUGGGGCGAAAACAAAAACUGACUCCCGGGCAUAUUUUUUUCGGCCUUUAUGGGCAGAGAACUUUAAUGCCGCUCAGAAUGAGGCCACCCAGUAGUUAGGUGUGAAUUUUCGAGACCUCUGGCACCGUUCUAAGAUGGGUCCUCUCUUCGUAGGCUAAUGCAUUGGCCCUUUUUGACCCGUUUUGGGGCGAAAACAAAAACUGACUCCCGGGCAUAUUUUUUUCGGCCUUUAUGGGCAGAGAACUUUAAUGCCGCUCAGAAUGAGGCCACCCAGUAGUUAGGUGUGAAUUUUCGAGACCUCUGGCACCGUUCUAAGAUGGGUCCUCUCUUCGUAGGCUAAUGCAUUGGCCCUUUUUGACCCGUUUUGGGGCGAAAACAAAAACUGACUCCCGGGCAUAUUUUUUUCGGCCUUUAUGGGCAGAGAACUUUAAUGCCGCUCAGAAUGAGGCCACCCAGUAGUUAGGUGUGAAUUUUCGAGACCUCUGGCACCGUUCUAAGAUGGGUCCUCUCUUCGUAGGCUAAUGCAUUGGCCCUUUUUGACCCGUUUUGGGGCGAAAACAAAAACUGACUCCCGGGCAUAUUUUUUUCGGCCUUUAUGGGCAGAGAACUUUAAUGCCGCUCAGAAUGAGGCCACCCAGUAGUUAGGUGUGAAUUUUCGAGACCUCUGGCACCGUUCUAAGAUGGGUCCUCUCUUCGUAGGCUAAUGCAUUGGCCCUUUUUGACCCGUUUUGGGGCGAAAACAAAAACUGACUCCCGGGCAUAUUUUUUUCGGCCUUUAUGGGCAGAGAACUUUAAUGCCGCUCAGAAUGAGGCCACCCAGUAGUUAGGUGUGAAUUUUCGAGACCUCUGGCACCGUUCUAAGAUGGGUCCUCUCUUCGUAGGCUAAUGCAUUGGCCCUUUUUGACCCGUUUUGGGGCGAAAACAAAAACUGACUCCCGGGCAUAUUUUUUUCGGCCUUUAUGGGCAGAGAACUUUAAUGCCGCUCAGAAUGAGGCCACCCAGUAGUUAGGUGUGAAUUUUCGAGACCUCUGGCACCGUUCUAAGAUGGGUCCUCUCUUCGUAGGCUAAUGCAUUGGCCCUUUUUGACCCGUUUUGGGGCGAAAACAAAAACUGACUCCCGGGCAUAUUUUUUUCGGCCUUUAUGGGCAGAGAACUUUAAUGCCGCUCAGAAUGAGGCCACCCAGUAGUUAGGUGUGAAUUUUCGAGACCUCUGGCACCGUUCUAAGAUGGGUCCUCUCUUCGUAGGCUAAUGCAUUGGCCCUUUUUGACCCGUUUUGGGGCGAAAACAAAAACUGACUCCCGGGCAUAUUUUUUUCGGCCUUUAUGGGCAGAGAACUUUAAUACCGCUCAGAAUGAGGCCACCCAGUAGUUAGGUGUGAAUUUUCGAGACCUCUGGCACCGUUCUAAGAUGGGUCCUCUCUUCGUAGGCUAAUGCAUUGGCCCUUUUUGACCCGUUUUGGGGCGAAAACAAAAACUGACUCCCGGGCAUAUUUUUUUCGGCCUUUAUGGGCAGAGAACUUUAAUGCCGCUCAGAAUGAGGCCACCCAGUAGUUAGGUGUGAAUUUUCGAGACCUCUGGCACCGUUCUAAGAUGGGUCCUCUCUUCGUAGGCUAAUGCAUUGGCCCUUUUUGACCCGUUUUGGGGCGAAAACAAAAACUGACUCCCGGGCAUAUUUUUUUCGGCCUUUAUGGGCAGAGAACUUUAAUACCGCUCAGAAUGAGGCCACCCAGUAGUUAGGUGUGAAUUUUCGAGACCUCUGGCACCGUUCUAAGAUGGGUCCUCUCUUCGUAGGCUAAUGCAUUGGCCCUUUUUGACCCGUUUUGGGGCGAAAACAAAAACUGACUCCCGGGCAUAUUUUUUUCGGCCUUUAUGGGCAGAGAACUUUAAUGCCGCUCAGAAUGAGGCCACCCAGUAGUUAGGUGUGAAUUUUCGAGACCUCUGGCACCGUUCUAAGAUGGGUCCUCUCUUCGUAGGCUAAUGCAUUGGCCCUUUUUGACCCGUUUUGGGGCGAAAACAAAAACUGACUCCCGGGCAUAUUUUUUUCGGCCUUUAUGGGCAGAGAACUUUAAUGCCGCUCAGAAUGAGGCCACCCAGUAGUUAGGUGUGAAUUUUCGAGACCUCUGGCACCGUUCUAAGAUGGGUCCUCUCUUCGUAGGGCUAAUGCAUUGGCCCUUUUUGACCCGUUUUGGGGCGAAAACAAAAACUGACUCCCGGGCAUAUUUUUUUCGGCCUUUAUGGGCAGAGAACUUUAAUACCGCUCAGAAUGAGGCCACCCAGUAGUUAGGUGUGAAUUUUCGAGACCUCUGGCACCGUUCUAAGAUGGGUCCUCUCUUCGUAGGCUAAUGCAUUGGCCCUUUUUGACCCGUUUUGGGGCGAAAACAAAAACUGACUCCCGGGCAUAUUUUUUUCGGCCUUUAUGGGCAGAGAACUUUAAUGCCGCUCAGAAUGAGGCCACCCAGUAGUUAGGUGUGAAUUUUCGAGACCUCUGGCACCGUUCUAAGAUGGGUCCUCUCUUCGUAGGCUAAUGCAUUGGCCCUUUUUGACCCGUUUUGGGGCGAAAACCAAAAACUGACUCCCGGGCAUAUUUUUUUCGGCCUUUAUGGGCAGAGAACUUUAAUACCGCUCAGAAUGAGGCCACCACCCAGUAGUUAGGUGUGAAUUUUCGAGACCUCUGGCACCGUUCUAAGAUGGGUCCUCUCUUCGUAGGCUAAUGCAUUGGCCCUUUUUGACCCGUUUUGGGGCGAAAACAAAAACUGACUCCCGGGCAUAUUUUUUUCGGCCUUUAUGGGCAGAGAAACUUUAAUGCCGCUCAGAAUGAGGCCACCCAGUAGUUAGGUGUGAAUUUUCGAGACCUCUGGCACCGUUCUAAGAUGGGUCCUCUCUUCGUAGGCUAAUGCAUUGGCCCUUUUUGACCCGUUUUGGGGCGAAAACAAAAACUGACUCCCGGGCAUAUUUUUUUCGGCCUUUAUGGGCAGAGAACUUUAAUACCGCUCAGAAUGAGGCCACCCAGUAGUUAGGUGUGAAUUUUCGAGACCUCUGGCACCGUUCUAAGAUGGGUCCUCUCUUCGUAGGCUAAUGCAUUGGCCCUUUUUGACCCGUUUUGGGGCGAAAACAAAAACUGACUCCCGGGCAUAUUUUUUUCGGCCUUUAUGGGCAAAGAACUUUAAUGCCGCUCAGAAUGAGGCCACCCAGUAGUUAGGUGUGAAUUUUCGAGACCUCUGGCACCGUUCUAAGAUGGGUCCUCUCUUCGUAGGCUAAUGCAUUGGCCCUUUUUGACCCGUUUUGGGGCGAAAAACAAAAACUGACUCCCGGGCAUAUUUUUUUCGGCCUUUAUGGGCAAAGAACUUUAAUGCCGCUCAGAAUGAGGCCACCCAGUAGUUAGGUGUGAAUUUUCGAGACCUCUGGCACCGUUCUAAGAUGGGUCCUCUCUUCGUAGGCUAAUGCAUUGGCCCUUUUUGACCCGUUUUGGGGCGAAAACAAAAAACUGACUCCCGGGCAUAUUUUUUUCGGCCUUUAUGGGCAGAGAACUUUAAUGCCGCUCAGAAUGAGGCCACCCAGUAGUUAGGUGUGAAUUUUCGAGACCUCUGGCACCGUUCUAAGAUGGGUCCUCUCUUCGUAGGCUAAUGCAUUGGCCCUUUUUGACCCGUUUUGGGGCGAAAACAAAAACUGACUCCCGGGCAUAUUUUUUUCGGCCUUUAUGGGCAGAGAACUUUAAUACCGCUCAGAAUGAGGCCACCCAGUAGUUAGGUGUGAAUUUUCGAGACCUCUGGCACCGUUCUAAGAUGGGUCCUCUCUUCGUAGGCUAAUGCAUUGGCCCUUUUUGACCCGUUUUGGGGCGAAAACAAAAACUGACUCCCGGGCAUAUUUUUUUCGGCCUUUAUGGGCAGAGAACUUUAAUACCGCUCAGAAUGAGGCCACCCAGUAGUUAGGUGUGAAUUUUCGAGACCCUCUGGCACCGUUCUAAGAUGGGUCCUCUCUUCGUAGGCUAAUGCAUUGGCCCUUUUUGACCCGUUUUGGGGCGAAAACAAAAACUGACUCCCGGGCAUAUUUUUUUCGGCCUUUAUGGGCAGAGAACUUUAAUACCGCUCAGAAUGAGGCCACCCAGUAGUUAGGUGUGAAUUUUCGAGACCUCUUGGCACCGUUCUAAGAUGGGUCCUCUCUUCGUAGGCUAAUGCAUUGGCCCUUUUUGACCCGUUUUGGGGCGAAAACAAAAACUGACUCCCGGGCAUAUUUUUUUCGGCCUUUAUGGGCAGAGAACUUUAAUGCCGCUCAGAAUGAGGCCACCCAGUAGUUAGGUGUGAAUUUUCGAGACCUCUGGCACCGUUCUAAGAUGGGUCCUCUCUUCGUAGGCUAAUGCAUUGGCCCUUUUUGACCCGUUUUGGGGCGAAAACAAAAACUGACUCCCGGGCAUAUUUUUUUCGGCCUUUAUGGGCAGAGAACUUUAAUACCGCUCAAAAAUGAGGCCACCCAGUAGUUAGGUGUGAAUUUUCGAGACCUCUGGCACCGUUCUAAGAUGGGUCCUCUCUUCGUAGGCUAAUGCAUUGGCCCUUUUUGACCCGUUUUGGGGCGAAAACAAAAACUGACUCCCGGGCAUAUUUUUUUCGGCCUUUAUGGGCAGAGAACUUUAAUACCGCUCAGAAUGAGGCCACCCAGUAGUUAGGUGUGAAUUUUCGAGACCUUUGGCACCGUUCUAAGAUGGGUCCUCUCUUCGUAGGCUAAUGCAUUGGCCCUUUUUGACCCGUUUUGGGGCGAAAACAAAAACUGACUCCCGGGCAUAUUUUUUUCGGCCUUUAUGGGCAGAGAACUUUAAUGCCGCUCAGAAUGAGGCCACCCAGUAGUUAGGUGUGAAUUUUCGAGACCUCUGGCACCGUUCUAAGAUGGGUCCUCUCUUCGUAGGCUAAUGCAUUGGCCCUUUUUGACCCGUUUUGGGGCGAAAACAAAAACUGACUCCCGGGCAUAUUUUUUUCGGCCUUUAUGGGCAGAGAACUUUAAUGCCGCUCAGAAUGAGGCCACCCAGUAGUUAGGUGUGAAUUUUCGAGACCUCUGGCACCGUUCUAAGAUGGGUCCUCUCUUCGUAGGCUAAUGCAUUGGCCCUUUUUGACCCGUUUUGGGGCGAAAACAAAAACUGACUCCCGGGCAUAUUUUUUUCGGCCUUUAUGGGCAGAGAACUUUAAUACCGCUCAGAAUGAGGCCACCCAGUAGUUAGGUGUGAAUUUUCGAGACCUCUGGCACCGUUCUAAGAUGGGUCCUCUCUUCGUAGGCUAAUGCAUUGGCCCUUUUUGACCCGUUUUGGGGCGAAAACAAAAACUGACUCCCGGGCAUAUUUUUUUCGGCCUUUAUGGGCAGAGAACUUUAAUACCGCUCAGAAUGAGGCCACCCAGUAGUUAGGUGUGAAUUUUCGAGACCUCUGGCACCGUUCUAAGAUGGGUCCUCUCUUCGUAGGCUAAUGCAUUGGCCCUUUUUGACCCGUUUUGGGGCGAAAACAAAAACUGACUCCCGGGCAUAUUUUUUUCGGCCUUUAUGGGCAGAGAACUUUAAUACCGCUCAGAAUGAGGCCACCCAGUAGUUAGGUGUGAAUUUUCGAGACCUUCUGGCACCGUUCUAAGAUGGGUCCUCUCUUCGUAGGCUAAUGCAUUGGCCCUUUUUGACCCGUUUUGGGGCGAAAACAAAAACUGACUCCCGGGCAUAUUUUUUUCGGCCUUUAUGGGCAGAGAACUUUAAUGCCGCUCAGAAUGAGGCCACCCAGUAGUUAGGUGUGAAUUUUCGAGACCUCUGGCACCGUUCUAAGAUGGGUCCUCUCUUCGUAGGCUAAUGCAUUGGCCCUUUUUGACCCGUUUUGGGGCGAAAACAAAAACUGACUCCCGGGCAUAUUUUUUUCGGCCUUUAUGGGCAGAGAACUUUAAUACCGCUCAGAAUGAGGCCACCCAGUAGUUAGGUGUGAAUUUUCGAGACCUCUGGCACCGUUCUAAGAUGGGUCCUCUCUUCGUAGGCUAAUGCAUUGGCCCUUUUUGACCCGUUUUGGGGCGAAAACAAAAACUGACUCCCGGGCAUAUUUUUUUCGGCCUUUAUGGGCAGAGAACUUUAAUACCGCUCAGAAUGAGGCCACCCAGUAGUUAGGUGUGAAUUUUCGAGACCUCUGGCACCGUUCUAAGAUGGGUCCUCUCUUCGUAGGCUAAUGCAUUGGCCCUUUUUGACCCGUUUUGGGGCGAAAACAAAAACUGACUCCCGGGCAUAUUUUUUUCGGCCUUUAUGGGCAGAGAACUUUAAUGCCGCUCAGAAUGAGGCCACCCAGUAGUUAGGUGUGAAUUUUCGAGACCUCUGGCACCGUUCUAAGAUGGGUCCUCUCUUCGUAGGCUAAUGCAUUGGCCCUUUUUGACCCGUUUUGGGGCGAAAACAAAAACUGACUCCCGGGCAUAUUUUUUUCGGCCUUUAUGGGCAGAGAACUUUAAUACCGCUCAGAAAUGAGGCCACCCAGUAGUUAGGUGUGAAUUUUCGAGACCUCUGGCACCGUUCUAAGAUGGGUCCUCUCUUCGUAGGCUAAUGCAUUGGCCCUUUUUGACCCGUUUUGGGGCGAAAACAAAAACUGACUCCCGGGCAUAUUUUUUUCGGCCUUUAUGGGCAGAGAACUUUAAUACCGCUCAGAAUGAGGCCACCCAGUAGUUAGGUGUGAAUUUUCGAGACCUCUCGGCACCGUUCUAAGAUGGGUCCUCUCUUCGUAGGCUAAUGCAUUGGCCCUUUUUGACCCGUUUUGGGGCGAAAACAAAAACUGACUCCCGGGCAUAUUUUUUUCGGCCUUUAUGGGCAGAGAACUUUAAUGCCGCUCAGAAAUGAGGCCACCCAGUAGUUAGGUGUGAAUUUUCGAGACCUCUGGCACCGUUCUAAGAUGGGUCCUCUCUUCGUAGGCUAAUGCAUUGGCCCUUUUUGACCCGUUUUGGGGCGAAAACAAAAACUGACUCCCGGGCAUAUUUUUUUCGGCCUUUAUGGGCAGAGAACUUUAAUACCGCUCAGAAUGAGGCCACCCAGUAGUUAGGUGUGAAUUUUCGAGACCUCUGGCACCGUUCUAAGAUGGGUCCUCUCUUCGUAGGCUAAUGCAUUGGCCCUUUUUGACCCGUUUUGGGGCGAAAACAAAAACUGACUCCCGGGCAUAUUUUUUUCGGCCUUUAUGGGCAGAGAACUUUAAUACCGCUCAGAAUGAGGCCACCCAGUAGUUAGGUGUGAAUUUUCGAGACCUCUUGGCACCGUUCUAAGAUGGGUCCUCUCUUCGUAGGCUAAUGCAUUGGCCCUUUUUGACCCGUUUUGGGGCGAAAACAAAAACUGACUCCCGGGCAUAUUUUUUUCGGCCUUUAUGGGCAGAGAACUUUAAUGCCGCUCAGAAUGAGGCCACCCAGUAGUUAGGUGUGAAUUUUCGAGACCUCUGGCACCGUUCUAAGAUGGGUCCUCUCUUCGUAGGCUAAUGCAUUGGCCCUUUUUGACCCGUUUUGGGGCGAAAACAAAAACUGACUCCCGGGCAUAUUUUUUUCGGCCUUUAUGGGCAGAGAACUUUAAUGCCGCUCAGAAUGAGGCCACCCAGUAGUUAGGUGUGAAUUUUCGAGACCUUUGGCACCGUUCUAAGAUGGGUCCUCUCUUCGUAGGCUAAUGCAUUGGCCCUUUUUGACCCGUUUUGGGGCGAAAACAAAAACUGACUCCCGGGCAUAUUUUUUUCGGCCUUUAUGGGCAGAGAACUUUAAUACCGCUCAGAAUGAGGCCACCCAGUAGUUAGGUGUGAAUUUUCGAGACCUCUGGCACCGUUCUAAGAUGGGUCCUCUCUUCGUAGGCUAAUGCAUUGGCCCUUUUUGACCCGUUUUGGGGCGAAAACAAAAACUGACUCCCGGGCAUAUUUUUUUCGGCCUUUAUGGGCAGAGAACUUUAAUGCCGCUCAGAAUGAGGCCACCCAGUAGUUAGGUGUGAAUUUUCGAGACCUCUGGCACCGUUCUAAGAUGGGUCCUCUCUUCGUAGGCUAAUGCAUUGGCCCUUUUUGACCCGUUUUGGGGCGAAAACAAAAACUGACUCCCGGGCAUAUUUUUUUCGGCCUUUAUGGGCAGAGAACUUUAAUACCGCUCAGAAUGAGGCCACCCAGUAGUUAGGUGUGAAUUUUCGAGACCUCUGGCACCGUUCUAAGAUGGGUCCUCUCUUCGUAGGCUAAUGCAUUGGCCCUUUUUGACCCGUUUUGGGGCGAAAACAAAAACUGACUCCCGGGCAUAUUUUUUUCGGCCUUUAUGGGCAGAGAACUCUUAAUAGCCGCUCAGAAAUGGCCAGGCCACCCAGUAGUUAGGUGUGAAUUUUCGAGACCUCUGGCACCGUUCUAAGAUGGGUCCUCUCUUCGUAGGCUAAUGCAUUGGCCCUUUUUGACCCGUUUUGGGGCGAAAACAAAAACUGACUCCCGGGCAUAUUUUUUUCGGCCUUUAUGGGCAGAGAACUUUAAUGCCGCUCAGAAUGAGGCCACCCAGUAGUUAGGUGUGAAUUUUCGAGACCUCUGGCACCGUUCUAAGAUGGGUCCUCUCUUCGUAGGCUAAUGCAUUGGCCCUUUUUGACCCGUUUUGGGGCGAAAACAAAAACUGACUCCCGGGCAUAUUUUUUUCGGCCUUUAUGGGCAGAGAACUUUAAUGCCGCUCAGAAUGAGGCCACCCAGUAGUUAGGUGUGAAUUUUCGAGACCUUUGGCACCGUUCUAAGAUGGGUCCUCUCUUCGUAGGCUAAUGCAUUGGCCCUUUUUGACCCGUUUUGGGGCGAAAACAAAAACUGACUCCCGGGCAUAUUUUUUUCGGCCUUUAUGGGCAGAGAACUUUAAUGCCGCUCAGAAUGAGGCCACCCAGUAGUUAGGUGUGAAUUUUCGAGACCUCUGGCACCGUUCUAAGAUGGGUCCUCUCUUCGUAGGCUAAUGCAUUGGCCCUUUUUGACCCGUUUUGGGGCGAAAACAAAAACUGACUCCCGGGCAUAUUUUUUUCGGCCUUUAUGGGCAGAGAACUUUAAUACCGCUCAGAAUGAGGCCACCCAGUAGUUAGGUGUGAAUUUUCGAGACCUUUGGCACCGUUCUAAGAUGGGUCCUCUCUUCGUAGGCUAAUGCAUUGGCCCUUUUUGACCCGUUUUGGGGCGAAAACAAAAACUGACUCCCGGGCAUAUUUUUUUCGGCCUUUAUGGGCAGAGAACUUUAAUACCGCUCAGAAUGAGGCCACCCAGUAGUUAGGUGUGAAUUUUCGAGACCUCUGGCACCGUUCUAAGAUGGGUCCUCUCUUCGUAGGCUAAUGCAUUGGCCCUUUUUGACCCGUUUUGGGGCGAAAACAAAAACUGACUCCCGGGCAUAUUUUUUUCGGCCUUUAUGGGCAGAGAACUUUAAUGCCGCUCAGAAUGAGGCCACCCAGUAGUUAGGUGUGAAUUUUCGAGACCUUUGGCCACCGUUCUAAGAUGGGUCCUCUCUUCGUAGGCUAAUGCAUUGGCCCUUUUUGACCCGUUUUGGGGCGAAAACAAAAACUGACUCCCGGGCAUAUUUUUUUCGGCCUUUAUGGGCAGAGAACUUUAAUACCGCUCAGAAUGAGGCCACCCAGUAGUUAGGUGUGAAUUUUCGAGACCUUUGGCACCGUUCUAAGAUGGGUCCUCUCUUCGUAGGCUAAUGCAUUGGCCCUUUUUGACCCGUUUUGGGGCGAAAACAAAAACUGACUCCCGGGCAUAUUUUUUUCGGCCUUUAUGGGCAGAGAACUUUAAUACCGCUCAGAAUGAGGCCACCCAGUAGUUAGGUGUGAAUUUUCGAGACCUUCUGGCACCGUUCUAAGAUGGGUCCUCUCUUCGUAGGCUAAUGCAUUGGCCCUUUUUGACCCGUUUUGGGGCGAAAACAAAAACUGACUCCCGGGCAUAUUUUUUUCGGCCUUUAUGGGCAGAGAACUUUAAUGCCGCUCAGAAUGAGGCCACCCAGUAGUUAGGUGUGAAUUUUCGAGACCUCUGGCACCGUUCUAAGAUGGGUCCUCUCUUCGUAGGCUAAUGCAUUGGCCCUUUUUGACCCGUUUUGGGGCGAAAACAAAAACUGACUCCCGGGCAUAUUUUUUUCGGCCUUUAUGGGCAGAGAACUUUAAUACCGCUCAGAAUGAGGCCACCCAGUAGUUAGGUGUGAAUUUUCGAGACCUUUGGCACCGUUCUAAGAUGGGUCCUCUCUUCGUAGGCUAAUGCAUUGGCCCUUUUUGACCCGUUUUGGGGCGAAAACAAAAACUGACUCCCGGGCAUAUUUUUUUCGGCCUUUAUGGGCAGAGAACUUUAAUGCCGCUCAGAAUGAGGCCACCCAGUAGUUAGGUGUGAAUUUUCGAGACCUUUGGCACCGUUCUAAGAUGGGUCCUCUCUUCGUAGGCUAAUGCAUUGGCCCUUUUUGACCCGUUUUGGGGCGAAAACAAAAACUGACUCCCGGGCAUAUUUUUUUCGGCCUUUAUGGGCAGAGAACUUUAAUACCGCUCAAAAUGAGGCCACCCAGUAGUUAGGUGUGAAUUUUCGAGACCUCUGGCACCGUUCUAAGAUGGGUCCUCUCUUCGUAGGCUAAUGCAUUGGCCCUUUUUGACCCGUUUUGGGGCGAAAACAAAAACUGACUCCCGGGCAUAUUUUUUUCGGCCUUUAUGGGCAGAGAACUUUAAUACCGCUCAAAAUGAGGCCACCCAGUAGUUAGGUGUGAAUUUUCGAGACCUUUGGCACCGUUCUAAGAUGGGUCCUCUCUUCGUAGGCUAAUGCAUUGGCCCUUUUUGACCCGUUUUGGGGCGAAAACAAAAACUGACUCCCGGGCAUAUUUUUUUCGGCCUUUAUGGGCAGAGAACUUUAAUGCCGCUCAGAAUGAGGCCACCCAGUAGUUAGGUGUGAAUUUUCGAGACCUUUGGCACCGUUCUAAGAUGGGUCCUCUCUUCGUAGGCUAAUGCAUUGGCCCUUUUUGACCCGUUUUGGGGCGAAAACAAAAACUGACUCCCGGGCAUAUUUUUUUCGGCCUUUAUGGGCAGAGAACUUUAAUACCGCUCAAAAUGAGGCCACCCAGUAGUUAGGUGUGAAUUUUCGAGACCUUUGGCACCGUUCUAAGAUGGGUCCUCUCUUCGUAGGCUAAUGCAUUGGCCCUUUUUGACCCGUUUUGGGGCGAAAACAAAAACUGACUCCCGGGCAUAUUUUUUUCGGCCUUUAUGGGCAGAGAACUUUAAUACCGCUCAAAAUGAGGCCACCCAGUAGUUAGGUGUGAAUUUUCGAGACCUUUGGCACCGUUCUAAGAUGGGUCCUCUCUUCGUAGGCUAAUGCAUUGGCCCUUUUUGACCCGUUUUGGGGCGAAAACAAAAACUGACUCCCGGGCAUAUUUUUUUCGGCCUUUAUGGGCAGAGAACUUUAAUACCGCUCAAAAUGAGGCCACCCAGUAGUUAGGUGUGAAUUUUCGAGACCUCUGGCACCGUUCUAAGAUGGGUCCUCUCUUCGUAGGCUAAUGCAUUGGCCCUUUUUGACCCGUUUUGGGGCGAAAACAAAAACUGACUCCCGGGCAUAUUUUUUUCGGCCUUUAUGGGCAGAGAACUUUAAUGCCGCUCAAAAUGAGGCCACCCAGUAGUUAGGUGUGAAUUUUCGAGACCUCUGGCACCGUUCUAAGAUGGGUCCUCUCUUCGUAGGCUAAUGCAUUGGCCCUUUUUGACCCGUUUUGGGGCGAAAACAAAAACUGACUCCCGGGCAUAUUUUUUUCGGCCUUUAUGGGCAGAGAACUUUAAUACCGCUCAGAAUGAGGCCACCCAGUAGUUAGGUGUGAAUUUUCGAGACCUUUGGCACCGUUCUAAGAUGGGUCCUCUCUUCGUAGGCUAAUGCAUUGGCCCUUUUUGACCCGUUUUGGGGCGAAAACAAAAACUGACUCCCGGGCAUAUUUUUUUCGGCCUUUAUGGGCAGAGAACUUUAAUACCGCUCAAAAUGAGGCCACCCAGUAGUUAGGUGUGAAUUUUCGAGACCUUUGGCACCGUUCUAAGAUGGGUCCUCUCUUCGUAGGCUAAUGCAUUGGCCCUUUUUGACCCGUUUUGGGGCGAAAACAAAAACUGACUCCCGGGCAUAUUUUUUUCGGCCUUUAUGGGCAGAGAACUUUAAUACCGCUCAAAAUGAGGCCACCCAGUAGUUAGGUGUGAAUUUUCGAGACCUUUGGCACCGUUCUAAGAUGGGUCCUCUCUUCGUAGGCUAAUGCAUUGGCCCUUUUUGACCCGUUUUGGGGCGAAAACAAAAACUGACUCCCGGGCAUAUUUUUUUCGGCCUUUAUGGGCAGAGAACUUUAAUACCGCUCAAAAUGAGGCCACCCAGUAGUUAGGUGUGAAUUUUCGAGACCUUUGGCACCGUUCUAAGAUGGGUCCUCUCUUCGUAGGCUAAUGCAUUGGCCCUUUUUGACCCGUUUUGGGGCGAAAACAAAAACUGACUCCCGGGCAUAUUUUUUUCGGCCUUUAUGGGCAGAGAACUUUAAUACCGCUCAAAAUGAGGCCACCCAGUAGUUAGGUGUGAAUUUUCGAGACCUUUGGCACCGUUCUAAGAUGGGUCCUCUCUUCGUAGGCUAAUGCAUUGGCCCUUUUUGACCCGUUUUGGGGCGAAAACAAAAACUGACUCCCGGGCAUAUUUUUUUCGGCCUUUAUGGGCAGAGAACUUUAAUACCGCUCAAAAUGAGGCCACCCAGUAGUUAGGUGUGAAUUUUCGAGACCUUUGGCACCGUUCUAAGAUGGGUCCUCUCUUCGUAGGCUAAUGCAUUGGCCCUUUUUGACCCGUUUUGGGGCGAAAACAAAAACUGACUCCCGGGCAUAUUUUUUUCGGCCUUUAUGGGCAGAGAACUUUAAUACCGCUCAAAAUGAGGCCACCCAGUAGUUAGGUGUGAAUUUUCGAGACCUUUGGCACCGUUCUAAGAUGGGUCCUCUCUUCGUAGGCUAAUGCAUUGGCCCUUUUUGACCCGUUUUGGGGCGAAAACAAAAACUGACUCCCGGGCAUAUUUUUUUCGGCCUUUAUGGGCAGAGAACUUUAAUACCGCUCAAAAUGAGGCCACCCAGUAGUUAGGUGUGAAUUUUCGAGACCUUUGGCACCGUUCUAAGAUGGGUCCUCUCUUCGUAGGCUAAUGCAUUGGCCCUUUUUGACCCGUUUUGGGGCGAAAACAAAAACUGACUCCCGGGCAUAUUUUUUUCGGCCUUUAUGGGCAGAGAACUUUAAUACCGCUCAAAAUGAGGCCACCCAGUAGUUAGGUGUGAAUUUUCGAGACCUUUGGCACCGUUCUAAGAUGGGUCCUCUCUUCGUAGGCUAAUGCAUUGGCCCUUUUUGACCCGUUUUGGGGCGAAAACAAAAACUGACUCCCGGGCAUAUUUUUUUCGGCCUUUAUGGGCAGAGAACUUUAAUACCGCUCAAAAUGAGGCCACCCAGUAGUUAGGUGUGAAUUUUCGAGACCUUUGGCACCGUUCUAAGAUGGGUCCUCUCUUCGUAGGCUAAUGCAUUGGCCCUUUUUGACCCGUUUUGGGGCGAAAACAAAAACUGACUCCCGGGCAUAUUUUUUUCGGCCUUUAUGGGCAGAGAACUUUAAUACCGCUCAAAAUGAGGCCACCCAGUAGUUAGGUGUGAAUUUUCGAGACCUUUGGCACCGUUCUAAGAUGGGUCCUCUCUUCGUAGGCUAAUGCAUUGGCCCUUUUUGACCCGUUUUGGGGCGAAAACAAAAACUGACUCCCGGGCAUAUUUUUUUCGGCCUUUAUGGGCAGAGAACUUUAAUACCGCUCAAAAUGAGGCCACCCAGUAGUUAGGUGUGAAUUUUCGAGACCUUUGGCACCGUUCUAAGAUGGGUCCUCUCUUCGUAGGCUAAUGCAUUGGCCCUUUUUGACCCGUUUUGGGGCGAAAACAAAAACUGACUCCCGGGCAUAUUUUUUUCGGCCUUUAUGGGCAGAGAACUUUAAUACCGCUCAAAAUGAGGCCACCCAGUAGUUAGGUGUGAAUUUUCGAGACCUUUGGCACCGUUCUAAGAUGGGUCCUCUCUUCGUAGGCUAAUGCAUUGGCCCUUUUUGACCCGUUUUGGGGCGAAAACAAAAACUGACUCCCGGGCAUAUUUUUUUCGGCCUUUAUGGGCAGAGAACUUUAAUACCGCUCAAAAUGAGGCCACCCAGUAGUUAGGUGUGAAUUUUCGAGACCUUUGGCACCGUUCUAAGAUGGGUCCUCUCUUCGUAGGCUAAUGCAUUGGCCCUUUUUGACCCGUUUUGGGGCGAAAACAAAAACUGACUCCCGGGCAUAUUUUUUUCGGCCUUUAUGGGCAGAGAACUUUAAUACCGCUCAAAAUGAGGCCACCCAGUAGUUAGGUGUGAAUUUUCGAGACCUUUGGCACCGUUCUAAGAUGGGUCCUCUCUUCGUAGGCUAAUGCAUUGGCCCUUUUUGACCCGUUUUGGGGCGAAAACAAAAACUGACUCCCGGGCAUAUUUUUUUCGGCCUUUAUGGGCAGAGAACUUUAAUACCGCUCAAAAUGAGGCCACCCAGUAGUUAGGUGUGAAUUUUCGAGACCUUUGGCACCGUUCUAAGAUGGGUCCUCUCUUCGUAGGCUAAUGCAUUGGCCCUUUUUGACCCGUUUUGGGGCGAAAACAAAAACUGACUCCCGGGCAUAUUUUUUUCGGCCUUUAUGGGCAGAGAACUUUAAUACCGCUCAAAAUGAGGCCACCCAGUAGUUAGGUGUGAAUUUUCGAGACCUUUGGCACCGUUCUAAGAUGGGUCCUCUCUUCGUAGGCUAAUGCAUUGGCCCUUUUUGACCCGUUUUGGGGCGAAAACAAAAACUGACUCCCGGGCAUAUUUUUUUCGGCCUUUAUGGGCAGAGAACUUUAAUACCGCUCAAAAUGAGGCCACCCAGUAGUUAGGUGUGAAUUUUCGAGACCUUUGGCACCGUUCUAAGAUGGGUCCUCUCUUCGUAGGCUAAUGCAUUGGCCCUUUUUGACCCGUUUUGGGGCGAAAACAAAAACUGACUCCCGGGCAUAUUUUUUUCGGCCUUUAUGGGCAGAGAACUUUAAUACCGCUCAAAAUGAGGCCACCCAGUAGUUAGGUGUGAAUUUUCGAGACCUUUGGCACCGUUCUAAGAUGGGUCCUCUCUUCGUAGGCUAAUGCAUUGGCCCUUUUUGACCCGUUUUGGGGCGAAAACAAAAACUGACUCCCGGGCAUAUUUUUUUCGGCCUUUAUGGGCAGAGAACUUUAAUACCGCUCAAAAUGAGGCCACCCAGUAGUUAGGUGUGAAUUUUCGAGACCUUUGGCACCGUUCUAAGAUGGGUCCUCUCUUCGUAGGCUAAUGCAUUGGCCCUUUUUGACCCGUUUUGGGGCGAAAACAAAAACUGACUCCCGGGCAUAUUUUUUUCGGCCUUUAUGGGCAGAGAACUUUAAUACCGCUCAAAAUGAGGCCACCCAGUAGUUAGGUGUGAAUUUUCGAGACCUUUGGCACCGUUCUAAGAUGGGUCCUCUCUUCGUAGGCUAAUGCAUUGGCCCUUUUUGACCCGUUUUGGGGCGAAAACAAAAACUGACUCCCGGGCAUAUUUUUUUCGGCCUUUAUGGGCAGAGAACUUUAAUACCGCUCAAAAUGAGGCCACCCAGUAGUUAGGUGUGAAUUUUCGAGACCUUUGGCACCGUUCUAAGAUGGGUCCUCUCUUCGUAGGCUAAUGCAUUGGCCCUUUUUGACCCGUUUUGGGGCGAAAACAAAAACUGACUCCCGGGCAUAUUUUUUUCGGCCUUUAUGGGCAGAGAACUUUAAUACCGCUCAAAAUGAGGCCACCCAGUAGUUAGGUGUGAAUUUUCGAGACCUUUGGCACCGUUCUAAGAUGGGUCCUCUCUUCGUAGGCUAAUGCAUUGGCCCUUUUUGACCCGUUUUGGGGCGAAAACAAAAACUGACUCCCGGGCAUAUUUUUUUCGGCCUUUAUGGGCAGAGAACUUUAAUACCGCUCAAAAUGAGGCCACCCAGUAGUUAGGUGUGAAUUUUCGAGACCUUUGGCACCGUUCUAAGAUGGGUCCUCUCUUCGUAGGCUAAUGCAUUGGCCCUUUUUGACCCGUUUUGGGGCGAAAACAAAAACUGACUCCCGGGCAUAUUUUUUUCGGCCUUUAUGGGCAGAGAACUUUAAUACCGCUCAAAAUGAGGCCACCCAGUAGUUAGGUGUGAAUUUUCGAGACCUUUGGCACCGUUCUAAGAUGGGUCCUCUCUUCGUAGGCUAAUGCAUUGGCCCUUUUUGACCCGUUUUGGGGCGAAAACAAAAACUGACUCCCGGGCAUAUUUUUUUCGGCCUUUAUGGGCAGAGAACUUUAAUACCGCUCAAAAUGAGGCCACCCAGUAGUUAGGUGUGAAUUUUCGAGACCUUUGGCACCGUUCUAAGAUGGGUCCUCUCUUCGUAGGCUAAUGCAUUGGCCCUUUUUGACCCGUUUUGGGGCGAAAACAAAAACUGACUCCCGGGCAUAUUUUUUUCGGCCUUUAUGGGCAGAGAACUUUAAUACCGCUCAAAAUGAGGCCACCCAGUAGUUAGGUGUGAAUUUUCGAGACCUUUGGCACCGUUCUAAGAUGGGUCCUCUCUUCGUAGGCUAAUGCAUUGGCCCUUUUUGACCCGUUUUGGGGCGAAAACAAAAACUGACUCCCGGGCAUAUUUUUUUCGGCCUUUAUGGGCAGAGAACUUUAAUACCGCUCAAAAUGAGGCCACCCAGUAGUUAGGUGUGAAUUUUCGAGACCUUUGGCACCGUUCUAAGAUGGGUCCUCUCUUCGUAGGCUAAUGCAUUGGCCCUUUUUGACCCGUUUUGGGGCGAAAACAAAAACUGACUCCCGGGCAUAUUUUUUUCGGCCUUUAUGGGCAGAGAACUUUAAUACCGCUCAAAAUGAGGCCACCCAGUAGUUAGGUGUGAAUUUUCGAGACCUUUGGCACCGUUCUAAGAUGGGUCCUCUCUUCGUAGGCUAAUGCAUUGGCCCUUUUUGACCCGUUUUGGGGCGAAAACAAAAACUGACUCCCGGGCAUAUUUUUUUCGGCCUUUAUGGGCAGAGAACUUUAAUACCGCUCAAAAUGAGGCCACCCAGUAGUUAGGUGUGAAUUUUCGAGACCUUUGGCACCGUUCUAAGAUGGGUCCUCUCUUCGUAGGCUAAUGCAUUGGCCCUUUUUGACCCGUUUUGGGGCGAAAACAAAAACUGACUCCCGGGCAUAUUUUUUUCGGCCUUUAUGGGCAGAGAACUUUAAUACCGCUCAAAAUGAGGCCACCCAGUAGUUAGGUGUGAAUUUUCGAGACCUUUGGCACCGUUCUAAGAUGGGUCCUCUCUUCGUAGGCUAAUGCAUUGGCCCUUUUUGACCCGUUUUGGGGCGAAAACAAAAACUGACUCCCGGGCAUAUUUUUUUCGGCCUUUAUGGGCAGAGAACUUUAAUACCGCUCAAAAUGAGGCCACCCAGUAGUUAGGUGUGAAUUUUCGAGACCUUUGGCACCGUUCUAAGAUGGGUCCUCUCUUCGUAGGCUAAUGCAUUGGCCCUUUUUGACCCGUUUUGGGGCGAAAACAAAAACUGACUCCCGGGCAUAUUUUUUUCGGCCUUUAUGGGCAGAGAACUUUAAUACCGCUCAAAAUGAGGCCACCCAGUAGUUAGGUGUGAAUUUUCGAGACCUUUGGCACCGUUCUAAGAUGGGUCCUCUCUUCGUAGGCUAAUGCAUUGGCCCUUUUUGACCCGUUUUGGGGCGAAAACAAAAACUGACUCCCGGGCAUAUUUUUUUCGGCCUUUAUGGGCAGAGAACUUUAAUACCGCUCAAAAUGAGGCCACCCAGUAGUUAGGUGUGAAUUUUCGAGACCUUUGGCACCGUUCUAAGAUGGGUCCUCUCUUCGUAGGCUAAUGCAUUGGCCCUUUUUGACCCGUUUUGGGGCGAAAACAAAAACUGACUCCCGGGCAUAUUUUUUUCGGCCUUUAUGGGCAGAGAACUUUAAUACCGCUCAAAAUGAGGCCACCCAGUAGUUAGGUGUGAAUUUUCGAGACCUCUUGGCACCGUUCUAAGAUGGGUCCUCUCUUCGUAGGCUAAUGCAUUGGCCCUUUUUGACCCGUUUUGGGGCGAAAACAAAAACUGACUCCCGGGCAUAUUUUUUUCGGCCUUUAUGGGCAGAGAACUUUAAUACCGCUCAAAAUGAGGCCACCCAGUAGUUAGGUGUGAAUUUUCGAGACCUCUGGCACCGUUCUAAGAUGGGUCCUCUCUUCGUAGGCUAAUGCAUUGGCCCUUUUUGACCCGUUUUGGGGCGAAAACAAAAACUGACUCCCGGGCAUAUUUUUUUCGGCCUUUAUGGGCAGAGAACUUUAAUGCCGCUCAAAAUGAGGCCACCCAGUAGUUAGGUGUGAAUUUUCGAGACCUCUGGCACCGUUCUAAGAUGGGUCCUCUCUUCGUAGGCUAAUGCAUUGGCCCUUUUUGACCCGUUUUGGGGCGAAAACAAAAACUGACUCCCGGGCAUAUUUUUUUCGGCCUUUAUGGGCAGAGAACUUUAAUACCGCUCAGAAUGAGGCCACCCAGUAGUUAGGUGUGAAUUUUCGAGACCUUCUGGCACCGUUCUAAGAUGGGUCCUCUCUUCGUAGGCUAAUGCAUUGGCCCUUUUUGACCCGUUUUGGGGCGAAAACAAAAACUGACUCCCGGGCAUAUUUUUUUCGGCCUUUAUGGGCAGAGAACUUUAAUACCGCUCAGAAUGAGGCCACCCAGUAGUUAGGUGUGAAUUUUCGAGACCUCUGGCACCGUUCUAAGAUGGGUCCUCUCUUCGUAGGCUAAUGCAUUGGCCCUUUUUGACCCGUUUUGGGGCGAAAACAAAAACUGACUCCCGGGCAUAUUUUUUUCGGCCUUUAUGGGCAGAGAACUUUAAUACCGCUCAGAAUGAGGCCACCCAGUAGUUAGGUGUGAAUUUUCGAGACCUUUGGCACCGUUCUAAGAUGGGUCCUCUCUUCGUAGGCUAAUGCAUUGGCCCUUUUUGACCCGUUUUGGGGCGAAAACAAAAACUGACUCCCGGGCAUAUUUUUUUCGGCCUUUAUGGGCAGAGAACUUUAAUGCCGCUCAGAAUGAGGCCACCCAGUAGUUAGGUGUGAAUUUUCGAGACCUUUGGCACCGUUCUAAGAUGGGUCCUCUCUUCGUAGGCUAAUGCAUUGGCCCUUUUUGACCCGUUUUGGGGCGAAAACAAAAACUGACUCCCGGGCAUAUUUUUUUCGGCCUUUAUGGGCAGAGAACUUUAAUGCCGCUCAGAAUGAGGCCACCCAGUAGUUAGGUGUGAAUUUUCGAGACCUCUGGCACCGUUCUAAGAUGGGUCCUCUCUUCGUAGGCUAAUGCAUUGGCCCUUUUUGACCCGUUUUGGGGCGAAAACAAAAACUGACUCCCGGGCAUAUUUUUUUCGGCCUUUAUGGGCAGAGAACUUUAAUACCGCUCAAAAUGAGGCCACCCAGUAGUUAGGUGUGAAUUUUCGAGACCUUUGGCACCGUUCUAAGAUGGGUCCUCUCUUCGUAGGCUAAUGCAUUGGCCCUUUUUGACCCGUUUUGGGGCGAAAACAAAAACUGACUCCCGGGCAUAUUUUUUUCGGCCUUUAUGGGCAGAGAACUUUAAUACCGCUCAAAAUGAGGCCACCCAGUAGUUAGGUGUGAAUUUUCGAGACCUCUGGCACCGUUCUAAGAUGGGUCCUCUCUUCGUAGGCUAAUGCAUUGGCCCUUUUUGACCCGUUUUGGGGCGAAAACAAAAACUGACUCCCGGGCAUAUUUUUUUCGGCCUUUAUGGGCAGAGAACUUUAAUACCGCUCAAAAUGAGGCCACCCAGUAGUUAGGUGUGAAUUUUCGAGACCUUUGGCACCGUUCUAAGAUGGGUCCUCUCUUCGUAGGCUAAUGCAUUGGCCCUUUUUGACCCGUUUUGGGGCGAAAACAAAAACUGACUCCCGGGCAUAUUUUUUUCGGCCUUUAUGGGCAGAGAACUUUAAUACCGCUCAGAAUGAGGCCACCCAGUAGUUAGGUGUGAAUUUUCGAGACCUUUGGCACCGUUCUAAGAUGGGUCCUCUCUUCGUAGGCUAAUGCAUUGGCCCUUUUUGACCCGUUUUGGGGCGAAAACAAAAACUGACUCCCGGGCAUAUUUUUUUCGGCCUUUAUGGGCAGAGAACUUUAAUACGCCGCUCAGAAUGAGGCCACCCAGUAGUUAGGUGUGAAUUUUCGAGACCUUUGGCACCGUUCUAAGAUGGGUCCUCUCUUCGUAGGCUAAUGCAUUGGCCCUUUUUGACCCGUUUUGGGGCGAAAACAAAAACUGACUCCCGGGCAUAUUUUUUUCGGCCUUUAUGGGCAGAGAACUUUAAUACCGCUCAGAAUGAGGCCACCCAGUAGUUAGGUGUGAAUUUUCGAGACCUUUGGCACCGUUCUAAGAUGGGUCCUCUCUUCGUAGGCUAAUGCAUUGGCCCUUUUUGACCCGUUUUGGGGCGAAAACAAAAACUGACUCCCGGGCAUAUUUUUUUCGGCCUUUAUGGGCAGAGAACUUUAAUACCGCUCAGAAUGAGGCCACCCAGUAGUUAGGUGUGAAUUUUCGAGACCUUUGGCACCGUUCUAAGAUGGGUCCUCUCUUCGUAGGCUAAUGCAUUGGCCCUUUUUGACCCGUUUUGGGGCGAAAACAAAAACUGACUCCCGGGCAUAUUUUUUUCGGCCUUUAUGGGCAGAGAACUUUAAUACCGCUCAAAAUGAGGCCACCCAGUAGUUAGGUGUGAAUUUUCGAGACCUUCUGGCACCGUUCUAAGAUGGGUCCUCUCUUCGUAGGCUAAUGCAUUGGCCCUUUUUGACCCGUUUUGGGGCGAAAACAAAAACUGACUCCCGGGCAUAUUUUUUUCGGCCUUUAUGGGCAGAGAACUUUAAUACCGCUCAAAAUGAGGCCACCCAGUAGUUAGGUGUGAAUUUUCGAGACCUCUGGCACCGUUCUAAGAUGGGUCCUCUCUUCGUAGGCUAAUGCAUUGGCCCUUUUUGACCCGUUUUGGGGCGAAAACAAAAACUGACUCCCGGGCAUAUUUUUUUCGGCCUUUAUGGGCAGAGAACUUUAAUACCCGCUCAGAAUGAGGCCACCCAGUAGUUAGGUGUGAAUUUUCGAGACCUUCUGGCACCGUUCUAAGAUGGGUCCUCUCUUCGUAGGCUAAUGCAUUGGCCCUUUUUGACCCGUUUUGGGGCGAAAACAAAAACUGACUCCCGGGCAUAUUUUUUUCGGCCUUUAUGGGCAGAGAACUUUAAUACCGCUCAAAAUGAGGCCACCCAGUAGUUAGGUGUGAAUUUUCGAGACCUCUGGCACCGUUCUAAGAUGGGUCCUCUCUUCGUAGGCUAAUGCAUUGGCCCUUUUUGACCCGUUUUGGGGCGAAAACAAAAACUGACUCCCGGGCAUAUUUUUUUCGGCCUUUAUGGGCAGAGAACUUUAAUACCGCUCAAAAUGAGGCCACCCAGUAGUUAGGUGUGAAUUUUCGAGACCUUUGGCACCGUUCUAAGAUGGGUCCUCUCUUCGUAGGCUAAUGCAUUGGCCCUUUUUGACCCGUUUUGGGGCGAAAACAAAAACUGACUCCCGGGCAUAUUUUUUUCGGCCUUUAUGGGCAGAGAACUUUAAUGCCGCUCAGAAUGAGGCCACCCAGUAGUUAGGUGUGAAUUUUCGAGACCUUUGGCACCGUUCUAAGAUGGGUCCUCUCUUCGUAGGCUAAUGCAUUGGCCCUUUUUGACCCGUUUUGGGGCGAAAACAAAAACUGACUCCCGGGCAUAUUUUUUUCGGCCUUUAUGGGCAGAGAACUUUAAUGCCGCUCAAAAUGAGGCCACCCAGUAGUUAGGUGUGAAUUUUCGAGACCUUUGGCACCGUUCUAAGAUGGGUCCUCUCUUCGUAGGCUAAUGCAUUGGCCCUUUUUGACCCGUUUUGGGGCGAAAACAAAAACUGACUCCCGGGCAUAUUUUUUUCGGCCUUUAUGGGCAGAGAACUUUAAUACCGCUCAAAAUGAGGCCACCCAGUAGUUAGGUGUGAAUUUUCGAGACCUUUGGCACCGUUCUAAGAUGGGUCCUCUCUUCGUAGGCUAAUGCAUUGGCCCUUUUUGACCCGUUUUGGGGCGAAAACAAAAACUGACUCCCGGGCAUAUUUUUUUCGGCCUUUAUGGGCAGAGAACUUUAAUGCCGCUCAAAAUGAGGCCACCCAGUAGUUAGGUGUGAAUUUUCGAGACCUUUGGCACCGUUCUAAGAUGGGUCCUCUCUUCGUAGGCUAAUGCAUUGGCCCUUUUUGACCCGUUUUGGGGCGAAAACAAAAACUGACUCCCGGGCAUAUUUUUUUCGGCCUUUAUGGGCAGAGAACUUUAAUACCCGCUCAGAAUGAGGCCACCCAGUAGUUAGGUGUGAAUUUUCGAGACCUUUGGCACCGUUCUAAGAUGGGUCCUCUCUUCGUAGGCUAAUGCAUUGGCCCUUUUUGACCCGUUUUGGGGCGAAAACAAAAACUGACUCCCGGGCAUAUUUUUUUCGGCCUUUAUGGGCAGAGAACUUUAAUACCGCUCAGAAAUGAGGCCACCCAGUAGUUAGGUGUGAAUUUUCGAGACCUUUGGCACCGUUCUAAGAUGGGUCCUCUCUUCGUAGGCUAAUGCAUUGGCCCUUUUUGACCCGUUUUGGGGCGAAAACAAAAACUGACUCCCGGGCAUAUUUUUUUCGGCCUUUAUGGGCAGAGAACUUUAAUACCGCUCAGAAAUGAGGCCACCCAGUAGUUAGGUGGGAAUUUUCGAGACCUUUGGCACCGUUCUAAGAUGGGUCCUCUCUUCGUAGGCUAAUGCAUUGGCCCUUUUUGACCCGUUUUGGGGCGAAAACAAAAACUGACUCCCGGGCAUAUUUUUUUCGGCCUUUAUGGGCAGAGAACUUUAACACCGCUCAAAAUGAGGCCACCCAGUAGUUAGGUGUGAAUUUUCGAGACCUUUGGCACCGUUCUAAGAUGGGUCCUCUCUUCGUAGGCUAAUGCAUUGGCCCUUUUUGACCCGUUUUGGGGCGAAAACAAAAACUGACUCCCGGGCAUAUUUUUUUCGGCCUUUAUGGGCAGAGAACUUUAAUACCGCUCAAAAUGAGGCCACCCAGUAGUUAGGUGUGAAUUUUCGAGACCUUUGGCACCGUUCUAAGAUGGGUCCUCUCUUCGUAGGCUAAUGCAUUGGCCCUUUUUGACCCGUUUUGGGGCGAAAACAAAAACUGACUCCCGGGCAUAUUUUUUUCGGCCUUUAUGGGCAGAGAACUUUAACACCGCUCAAAAUGAGGCCACCCAGUAGUUAGGUGGGAAUUUUCGAGACCUUUGGCACCGUUCUAAGAUGGGUCCUCUCUUCGUAGGCUAAUGCAUUGGCCCUUUUUGACCCGUUUUGGGGCGAAAACAAAAACUGACUCCCGGGCAUAUUUUUUUUCGGCCUUUAUGGGCAGAGAACUUUAACACCGCUCAAAAUGAGGCCACCCAGUAGUUAGGUGGGAAUUUUCGAGACCUUUGGCACCGUUCUAAGAUGGGUCCUCUCUUCGUAGGCUAAUGCAUUGGCCCUUUUUGACCCGUUUUGGGGCGAAAACAAAAACUGACUCCCGGGCAUAUUUUUC